GGGCGUGUAGCUCAGGGGUAGAGCGCUCGCUUUGCAUCCGCCUCGCCACCUUGGUUAAGGCGUAAAAAUGCGAGAGGCCUAGGGUUCAAAUCCCUACUCGUCCA